rnacentral:tRNA from 1 species
UCUCCUGUGAUGUAAAGGUAACAUACUGAGCUCUAACCUCAGAAUUGUCCGUUCGAGUCGAGACCGGGAGGACCA